rnacentral:rRNA from 1 species
CACGUAGGGUGCGAGCGUUGUCCGGAAUUAUUGGGCGUAAAGAGCUCGUAGGCGGUUGUCGCGUCUGCUGUGAAAACUCGGGGCUUAACCCCGGGCCUGCAGUGGGUACGGGCAGACUAGAGUGUGGUAGGGGAGACUGGAAUUCCUGGUGUAGCGGUGAAAUGCGCAGAUAUCAGGAGGAACACCGAUGGCGAAGGCAGGUCUCUGGGCCAUAACUGACGCUGAGAAGCGAAAGCAUGGGGAGCGAACAGG